AUUGAACGCUGGCGGCAGGCCUAACACAUGCAAGUCGAGCGGAUGAGGAGAGCUUGCUCUCUGAUUUAGCGGCGGACGGGUGAGUAAUGCCUAGGAAUCUGCCUGGUAGUGGGGGAUAACGUUCCGAAAGGAACGCUAAUACCGCAUACGUCCUACGGGAGAAAGCAGGGGACCUUCGGGCCUUGCGCUAUCAGAUGAGCCUAGGUCGGAUUAGCUAAUUGGUGAGGUAAUGGCUCACCAAGGCGACGAUCCGUAACUGGUCUGAGAGGAUGAUCAGUCACACUGGAACUGAGACACGGUCCAGACUCCUACGGGAGGCAGCAGUGGGGAAUAUUGGACAAUGGGCGAAAGCCUGAUCCAGCCAUGCCGCGUGUGUGAAGAAGGUCUUCGGAUUGUAAAGCACUUUAAGUUGGGAGGAAAGGUUGUAGAUUAAUACUCUGCAAUUUUGACGUUACCAACAGAAUAAGCACCGGCUAACUUCGUGCCAGCCGCCGCAGUAAUAC
rnacentral:rRNA from 1 species